AUGAAUGAUCAUUUAGGUACACUAUCUGUAUUUUUCACUAGAUUUACAUUUGAAAUUGUAUCUGAUGUAUUUUUAUGCAUAAAAAGAUUAAAACAAACUAGCACCUAUUAAAAACAACAAAACUCAAAACUUGGUAUGAUGAUUUAUAUGAGUGAAACAAAAAAUAUCACUAUACACAACUGCAUUUUCAUUCCAAUGUUCUUUUAAUCACAACUCUCAGACCCUGUAGGAUUUCCUACACUAGUUUACAUUCACAUGUGCACCUUACAAACACUCCAUUCAAUUCAAUCAAGAGAUUUGAUUCUUUAAGUUAGUGACUGGAAGAGUUGCAAUGGAAUAAAAAAAAAAAAAAUUUAAUAGCAAAAUUUCAAUCAACAUAGUAAGAAACAACCUCGGUUUUUUAAACAAAAGUUUGAUGGCACAGAACUAUAACUUACUUAUUACACCCAUGCCUUAUGGUUCAGAUCUAAAAAUCUGAACAAAAAAAUAUUUUUUUAAAUGUACUGCUGGAAGCAGUAUAGGAGAGGACUAUUAAAUCUUCUUGUCUUAGUGUAAAAUCAGGAAUCAAAGCCUUGUUUAAAUAAAAGGUUUAUGUCCCACAAGUUGAAAGUUUGAUAUGGAAAAAAAAAGUUUGGGGGGGGGGGGGGG